rnacentral:rRNA from 1 species
UACGUAGGGUGCGAGCGUUUGUUCGGAAUCACUGGGCGUAAAGGGCGCGUAGGCGGUGUGUCAAGUCAGGCGUGAAAGCCCCGGGCUCAACCUGGGAACCGCGCUUGAGACUGGCACGCUCGAGUUCGGGAGAGGAUGGUGGAAUUCCCAGUGUAGAGGUGAAAUUCGUAGAUAUUCGCAAGAACACCAGUGGCGAAGGCGGCUCACUGGCCCGGUACUGACGCUGAGGUGCGAAAGCGUGGGGAGCAAACAGG